UACGUAGGUGGCAAGCGUUGUCCGGAUUUACUGGGCGUAAAGAGCGCGCAGGCGGUCGUUCAAGUCGCGUGUGAAAGCCCCCGGCUCAACUGGGGAGGGUCACGCGACACUGAUCGACUCGAAGGCAGGAGAGGGUAGUGGAAUUCCCGGUGUAGUGGUGAAAUGCGUAGAUAUAGGGAGGAACACCAGUGGCGAAGGCGACUACCUGGCCUGUUCUUGACGCUGAGGCGCGAAAGCUAGGGGAGCAAACGGG
rnacentral:rRNA from 1 species